GGAUCGCCUUGUUGAGCAUAUAUCCUUUCCCAUCCAAACCAUCUCACCGAACCUGCUGGCCUCUCUCCGCUAUAUAUAAUAAAUAAAGCCCGUUCACUUUUAAUCGCACUGCCUUGUCUACACGACUACGGAUCUAACCGUUUAUAUGCGAAGCAACGGCAGCUGGCUCUUCUUGCUUACCAUUAUUGCCCAUCGAACGAGCUUCGUCUCCGCUAGUGAAUAAGGUGAAGGCCAGUAGGCCCGAGUUGGCAAAAAUUUUGAACAACAAUGAGCAGGGCAACAAACUGCUGGUGGUGGAGUUCGUGGAGAAAAGUAACGCGGCGUGCGAGUCCAUAAAGCCGGAGGUAGAGAGAAUUGCCUCCCGAUUUGCAAACGGCGCUGUAUUCUACGAGCUUGACUGCAGCAAUUUCAAGUUUCUUACAUCACGGCUUAAAGUUUCGACGGUGCCGAUGUUUCUGCUGAUGAGGAACCGCAAGGUGGAGAAGCAGUGCGACGUGGAGGACAUCUUUGUUGGCGUCAGAGCGGAGGAGCUGGAGAGCAGAAUCCAGAAUCACAUAGGGCCGCCGUCUGGUUCGUCCAACCAAGAUGCGAAGCUUAUACGGCUGAGCGGCUUCCCUUGGAUGACCAUACUCCUAUCCCACUAUCGGGCCCCAAAUUAUUUUUUAGAAAAAGGAUCACUCCCGCUUUAUUUUAGAGAAACAAAGUAAAGGUUUCAGGUUCGUACAAAUGAAAGCAAGUAGGAGUUCACAAGCUCCACAAAGUUUUCAUAGCUCUUAAGAAGCUAAGCAUCUAGCGAGACAACACCCGGUACGGAGGGAGCAACGUAGGGUGACUGAUCAGCCAUUACAUUCCCAUCUUCAUAGAACUCCUCCAGCGCUGCCUGCACGCCGGCAUUGAUACAGACCACCUAUCCAUCUGAUGCUACCAAAUCUGAUUGUGUCGCCGUCUAGGAGCUUAAGGGAAUUGUCGUCACCUGCCCACCCCAGGAAAGGCGCAGGGGACUGUAUAGUCUUGAUGUGAGGUCUUCCAUCACUUGGUCCAGGCCUUGCAAAUCUGCAGCUUUGCACAGAGCUCUCCAAUUUUUUAAGGUCUUGAUCAGUUUUGCCAGCAGAUCCUUCUGGCUUCUCCAUUGUUUUGCCUGAAAACAAAGGUCAUUACGCAUUUUCCAAGUGCACCACAUCAAUGCAGCGCAACAAGUGUUCAUGAUAGCAUUUUUUUAUUACUGAUCCACCACCUGACCACUGAUUCAAAGUCAGUGCCUAGAUUUCUUCCAAAGAUUUCAGAGAGGAUAAGCCACAUGGUUGUAGGCACACAGCAUUCAAAGAAUAAAUGAUGUACCGUCUCAGAUUCUGCACAGAAAAGGCAGCUGAGAUAAUCUAAAUUUUGUCU